rnacentral:rRNA from 1 species
AUUGAACGCUGGCGGCAGGCCUAACACAUGCAAGUCGAACGGUAACAGGAAGCAGCUUGCUGCUUUGCUGACGAGUGGCGGACGGGUGGGUAAUGUCUGGGAAACUGCCUGAUGGAGGGGGAUAACUACUGGAAACGGUAGCUAAUACCGCAUAACGUCGCAAGACCAAAGAGGGGGACCUUCGGGCCUCUUGCCAUCGGAUGUGCCCAGAUGGGAUUAGUUAGUAGGUGGGGUAAAGGCUCACCUAGGCGACGAUCCCUAGCUGGUCUGAGAGGAUGACCAGCCACACUGGAACUGAGACACGGUCCAGACUCCUACGGGAGGCAGCAGUGGGGAAUAUUGCACAAUGGGCGCAAGCCUGAUGCAGCCAUGCCGCGUGUAUGAAGAAGGCCUUCGGGUUGUAAAGUACUUUCAGCGGGGAGGAAGGGAGUAAAGUUAAUACCUUUGCUCAUUGACGUUACCCGCAGAAGAAGCACCGGCUAACUCCGUG